UACGGGGAGAGCAAGCGUUGUUCGGAUUUACUGGCGUAAAGGGCGCGUAGGCGGUCGUGACAAGUCACUUGUGAAAUCUCCGGGCUUAACUCGGAACGGUCAAGUGAUACUGUCGGACUAGAGUACAGAAGGGGCAACUGGAAUUCUCGGUGUAGCGGUGAAAUGCGUAGAUAUCGAGAGGAACACCUGCGGCGAAGGCGGGUUGCUGGGCUGAUACUGACGCUGAGGCGCGAAAGCCAGGGGAACGAACGGG
rnacentral:rRNA from 1 species